UAAAAUGCUCUGCUGGGGCGCAGCUUGAUACGACCGCAGAGGUCGAACCCUGAACAGUUGGGGCAAGUAUGGACACAACAUUCAAGCUUGAUACAGCACUGAAUUUGGAUUGUAAUUAAAUAUUUGACACAGCAUAGGUUUCUGACACAGAAUGAAUGUGGUCUAAGAACUUAAAAAUUUUUAAUUUACCUAUUCAAACCAUAUCAUUAUUAUUUGCUUUUAUAUAUAAAUCAGAAAUAACCAAUUUAAAAUGGAAAAUUUUAAAGAAAAAAAAAAUCCCUCCACUAAAUUUUUUGAACCCCCUUAUGGUUCAUCUCCCCAAACUCAAUCCCAGCCUUCCCUUUGUGGUAUGGUACCUUGCAGUACAAUUUCAGAGAGAUCCAUACACUUGAACACAAGUUAUUGUCUGGAAACUAGAAAAAUGCUUGUUUUUAGGACCCUUUUUGGCCCCAAAUUCCUAAACGUUUAGGGCAAUUACCCCCAAACUCAAACCCAGCUUUCCUUUUGUGAUAUGGAACCUUGUAGUACAAUUUCAUAAAGAUCCAUACAUUUACACACAAGUUAUUGUCCUGAAACUAGAAAUAUGCUUCUUUUUUGCCCCUUUUUGGCCCCUAAUUCCUAAAAUAUUGAGGCAAUUACCCCCAAAAUCAAUCCCAGCCUUCCCUUUGUGGUAUGGUACCUUGCAGUACAAUUUCAGAGAGAUCCAUACACUUGAACACAAGUUAUUAUCUGGAAACUAGAAAAAUGCUAUUUUUGGCCCCUUAUUCCAAAACGUUUUGGGCAAUUACCCCCAAACUCAAUUCCAGCUUUCCCUUUGUGAUAUGGAACCUUGUAGUUCAAUUUCAGAAAAAUCCAUAUACUUACACACAAGUUAUUAUCAUGAAACUAGAAAAAUGCUUGUUUUUUGCCCCUUUUUUGGCCCCUAAUUCCUAAAAUUUUGCGGCAAUUACCCUCAAAAUCAAUCCCAGCAUUCCCUUUGUGAUAUGGAACCUUGUGGUACAAUGUCAAGAGAGAUCCAUACACUAACACACAAGUUAUGUCUGGAAGUUACAAAAAUGCUUAUUUUUGGCCCCUUUUUGGCCCCUAAUUCCUUAACUGUUGAUACCAUAACCCCCAAAAUCAAUCCCAACCUUCCUUUUGUGGUAUUGAACCUUAUGGUAAAAUUUCAUGGAGAUCCAUUCACUUAAACUAAAGUUAGAGUGCGAAAACCAAUGUGUCUUCGGACGACGACGACGACGACGACACCAACGUCAUACAA